AUUGAACGCUGGCGGCAGGCCUAACACAUGCAAGUCGAGCGGAUGAAGGGAGCUUGCUCCUGGAUUCAGCGGCGGACGGGUGAGUAAUGCCUAGGAAUCUGCCUGGUAGUGGGGGAUAACGUCCGGAAACGGGCGCUAAUACCGCAUACGUCCUGAGGGAGAAAGUGGGGGAUCUUCGGACCUCACGCUAUCAGAUGAGCCUAGGUCGGAUUAGCUAGUUGGUGGGGUAAAGGCCUACCAAGGCGACGAUCCGUAACUGGUCUGAGAGGAUGAUCAGUCACACUAGAACGGAGACACGGUCCAGACUCCUACGGGGGGCAGCAGUGGGGAAUAUUGGACAAUGGGCGAAAGCCUGAUCCAGCCAUGCCGCGUGUGUGAAGAAGGCCUUCGGAUUGUAAAGCACUUUAAGUUGGGAGGAAGGGCAGUAAGUUCGUACCUUGCUGUUUUGACGUUACCAACAGAAUAAGCACCGGCUAACUUCGUG
rnacentral:rRNA from 1 species